UACAGAGGAUGCAAGCGUUAUCCGGAAUGAUUGGGCGUAAAGCGUCUGUAGGUGGCUUUUUAAGUCCGCCGUCAAAUCCCAGGGCUCAACCUGGGAAUGGCGAUGGAUACUGGCUCGCUAGAGUGCGGUAGAGGAGAGUGGAAUUCCCGGUGUAGCGGUGAAAUGCGCAGAUAUCGGGAAGAACACCCGUGGCGAAGGCGGCUCUCUGGGACGGUACUGACGCUGAGACGCGAAAGCGUGGGGAGCGAACAGG
rnacentral:rRNA from 1 species